GACGAACGCGGGCGGCGUGCUUAACACAUGCAAGUCGAACGGGCUUCUGGGGUUCUGGCUUUUUUGGUUGGGGUUCUGGGGGUUAGUGGCGAACGGGUGAGUAACACGUGAGUAACCUGCCCUUCACUUCUGGAUAACCGCUUGAAAGGGUGGCUAAUACGGGAUGUUUCUGAGUCUGUCGCAUGGCGGGUUCGGGAAAGAUGGCACUGUUUGGUGUUUUUGGUGGGGGAUGGGCUCGCGGCCUAUCAGCUUGUUGGUGGGGUGAUGGCCUGCCAAGGCUUUGACGGGUAGCCGGCCUGAGAGGGUGGGCGGUCACACUGGGACUGAGGUACGGCCCAGACUCCUACGGGAGGCAGCAGUGGGGAAUAUUGCACAAUGGGCGGAAGCCUGAUGCAGCGACGUCGCGUGAGGGAUGGAGGCCUUCGGGUUGUGAACCUCUUUCGCCAGUGAGGAAGGCCUUGCCCGUGUGGUGGGGUUGACGGUAGCUGGGUUAAUUGAAGCGCCGGCUAACUACGUGCCAGCAGCCGCGGUAAUACGUAGGGCGCGAGCGUUGUCCGGAAUUAUUGGGCGUAAAGGGCUUGUAGGCGGUUGGUCGCGUCUGCCGUGAAAUCCUCUGGCUCAGCUGGGGGCGUGCGGUGGGUACGGGCUGGCUUGAGUGCGGUAGGGGAGGCUGGAACUCCUGGUGUAGCGGUGGAAUGCGCAGAUAUCAGGAGGAACACCGGUGGCGAAGGCGGGUCUCUGGGCCGUUACUGACGCUGAGGAGCGAAAGCGUGGGGAGCGAACAGG
rnacentral:rRNA from 1 species